GUUUGCUCCUGUCUGUAGCAGUGAUGGCAAGACAUAUGGCAAUUUAUGUCUGUUUUGUGAUGCACGAAGGGAAAGUGGUGGCAGUCUAACCAUAGAUCAUGAGGGUGAAUGUGUUAAAAAGGAUGAAUGCAGUAAGUAUCCCGUGCCACCAAAAGGCUAUCCACCAGCAUGUACACGCAAGUAUGCACCUAUCUGUGGCAGCAAUGGUGUGACAUAUGGCAACUUAUGUGUGUUUUGUGCUGCCAAAAGGGAAAGUGGAGGCCAUCUAACCAUAGAUCAUGAGGGCGAAUGUGAAAAGAAGGGAAAGUGGAGGCAGUCUAACCAUAGAUCAUAAGGGUGAAUGUGUUAAAAAGGACAAGUGAUAGAUGACUUGGGACAAAGCAGAAAGCAUUGCUAAUCAAAGAAGAAAGACCUAGUUUGAUGCCUCUGUGCAAAGAUGCUGUCUUUGUAGUUUCUAAUGUAAAGAAGAGGCUCUUUUGAUUUCCUG